CAGAGGGCAGAGAACAAAAAAGCAUUUCAUCUAUCUUCUUCAAUUUUUUACUCACCUUAAAUUGUUACCAUUAAACCACCAGCCCACCACCAUAUUCCCCGAUCCUCUGUUUUCGUUUCCUCCAAGCUAGACACAUACUCAUCUCCAUCAUUUUCCAUUUUUAACUUUUUAACACUCAAACCACAAAACCACCGUGAACCACUCCAUCUCCACCGUUAACCACCAUGGACACCACCUGAAAUCCACCACCCCUGCUUCUGUUCUUCUCUAUUUUCACCGUUUCACCACCACUUUCCGACCAAACACCACCCUAUAACUUUAAACCCGCCGGAAACCACCCUUAACCCAUCUCGCCACCACCAUUACACCGCCCCUCACUCCCAUCGGAAAAAAAACCCCGUCACCACCCUGUCUAUCUAAGACUGAAAAACAGAGGCGAAUGGACCCCUAUUUCCUGUGAAACACCCAGUCUUUGUCGAGGUUUCGGUUGAAGUUUUCGACUCCGGUCGUCGGCUUCUUGACGGUUCGUUUAUUUGCUGCUGGGUUUUAUUCGUAAUUGAGAGUUUUGGAAUUGCUUCUUGUUUCAACUGGUCCAUUUCUUUACCUACUUUUCAAUAUUAAAAUAGUUUCAGUUGAUG